rnacentral:rRNA from 1 species
UACGGAGGGUGCAAGCGUUGUUCGGAAUCAUUGGGCGUAAAGCGCGUGUAGGCGGCUUGGCAAGUCAGUUGUGAAAGCCCGGGGCCCAACCCCGGAACUGCAUCUGAAACUGCCUGGCUAGAGUCCCGGAGAGGAAGGCAGAAUUCCCGGUGUAGGGGUGAAAUCCGUAGAUAUCAGGAGGAACACCAGUGGCGAAGGCGGCUUUCUGGACGGUAACUGACGCUGAGGCGCGAAAGCGUGGGGAGCAAACAGG